rnacentral:lncRNA from 1 species
AGCUGUCACCUCCUCCAGAAAGCCUUCCUUGACCAACCGUCGUCCACAGUAAGUAGUACCCGUGCUCCUAAAGCUUCCCUGGGAUUAAUAUUGCACUGAUCACAUUGGCUUCAGUGAUGUUUUUCCUUCCACUUCCUGCUCUAGUGUAGAACUCACAGGGCGGGGACAAGGUUUUCAUAUACCCAGCACGGGGAACAGCAGCCCUUGGUUAACAUGUACUGAAUGAAUCACAGGAAGUGGUGGCUGGAGCUCAUUCACACUAGCAUGUAAAUGACUAAUAUACAUCCUUUCCUGAAAACAACCCUUGAUGGAGGAGAGGAAGGGGAAAUCCCAGAGCCCCGGGCAAGUGAAGCCAGGGAAGCAGCCCCACCUGGAGAGGGACAGGUCCAGGGAGUUGGGAGGCCCAGCUUCAACCCUGGUUAUGAAGAGGACACAGCUGCCCCUCGUUCAAAUGCCAGGAGAAGGCUCCCAGCCAGCAUUCCAGACAGAACACUCCAGGUGCUCCAUGACACACGGACAGAUCCUUGCAGAGAAGUGAGACGUUCUAGAGCCUGGACAAUUCCAUAAAUGGCCGUGAGGACUUUGCUUUAAGGACUUUGCUCUCGGAAGCUGGAUUUUCCCUCUAUGAGUUAGAAUUCCAUGACAACAUGGCACCCAAAACACAGAUGCUGUUUACCUCUGUUCAUACAGUCAAGCUCAUUAAAAUUCAUUAAAGCCACCGACUAUCAUUCUACUGAAAAUCACUUAUAACAAAUCAGACUUACAACAGAUUUUGAUGUUGCAUAGUAUUCAAUUUGAUCAAAUCAGUCAAGACGUUGAAAGCUCCCAUAAGGGGAAGAAGGAGGGCGAUGUAGAAAUAUAAAGGGGUAAAAUGACGGUACAAUGGCCAGAGUGCAGAGUGCGCAGAAACCGGAAUUCACCUUCCUGAAGGCCAGCUCAGGGCAGGAUUCUAACACACACACACACACACACACACACACACACGCUCAGGCAUUCAUGCACAUGUACACACGCAUGCACACGUGUGCACAUGCAUGCACAUAAGCACACAGUGGCUUCACAUUGCUGCUCGAUGACUCCUUUCUGACAUGAAAACGCUACUUUGCACUUUUCACCCUCUCCCCAACUAUGAAUUCCUGCAUACUUAUCCCCAGAAAUUAGAAUUCACAUGGCAGAUAAUAGAAUUUCUGCCAAUUAGUUCACUUAUCUAACAAGGUAGGCUCUUUCUCUACUGGAAAUGGUCAUCUGUAGGUUAUCAUAACAUUUCACAUGGGCUUCUUCCGGGGAACGGGAAGGAACAAGGACAGUCAGCAAUUGUCUCCAGAGCAUCGCCUUGCUGGUUUAAAUGCUCCAGGAAGUGUUUGCCGUGGGACCAACGGCAGGUAGGGGCACAGGUGGAGUGUGCUGGGGACAGGAGGGGCUGCCUGGGAAGGUAAAAAGGAAUGGGAAGAAAGAGAGGGACUAUCCCAGCGAGGAGCAGUGUGAUCUUGAUACCUUCAAUGCCUGUGAGCCAAGCAUUCAGGAUUUAUUUCUACCCCAAUUAUCCUAAGAGAGGCAAUGGCCUCAUUCAGUGCCAUGGAGAAAUGGGCUCUAGCUCCUAGAUGACAAUGGCGGCCAGCCUCUGCGGAUGGACAGGAGAGCUGCCAGAGAGAGCCAGGGCCAUCCUAGUGGCGGUUGCGAGCCUCACCCCAACCCGCUCCAAACCCACCCCGGAGGCAGGUGCUGCCAACGCCACGUAAAGCACCUG